CCUACGGGAGGCAGCAGUGAGGAAUAUUGGUCAAUGGACGCGAGUCUGAACCAGCCAAGUCGCGUGAAGGAUGACUGCCCUAUGGGUUGUAAACUUCUUUUAUAUGGGAAUAAAAUGUUCCACGUGUGGGAUUAUGUAUGUAACAUAUGAAUAAGGAUCGGCUAACUCCGUGCCAGCAGCCGCGGUAAUACGGAGGAGACGAGCCUUAUCCGGGUUUAUUGGGUUUAAAGGGCGCGUAGGUGGAUUGUUAAGUCAGUUGUGAAAGUUUGCGGCUCAACCGUAAAAUUGCAAUUGAAACUGGCAGUCUUGAGUACAGUAGAGGUGAGCGGAAUUCGUGGUGUAGCGGUGAAAUGCUUAGAUAUCACGAAGAACUCCGAUUGCGAAGGCAGCUCACUGGACUGCAACUGACACUGAGGCUCGAAAGUGUGGGUAUCAAACAGGAUUAGAUACCCCAGUAGUC
rnacentral:rRNA from 1 species